GGCCAGGUAGCUCAAUAGGUAGAGCACCUGGUAUAUAUCUAGAAGGCCUGGGUUCAACCCCCAGUCUGGCCA